UACGUAGGGUGCAAGCGUUGUCCGGAAUUAUUGGGCGUAAAGAGCUCGUAGGCGGUUUGGUAAGUCGGGUGUGAAGUCUCCACGCUCAACGUGGAGGGGCCACUCGAUACUGCCAUGACUCGAGUCCGGUAGAGGAGUGUGGAAUUCCCGGUGUAGCGGUGAAAUGCGCAGAUAUCGGGAGGAACACCCGUAGCGAAGGCGGCACUCUGGGCCGGAACUGACGCUGAGGAGCGAAAGCGUGGGGAGCAAACAGG
rnacentral:rRNA from 1 species